UUGUGGGCGCCCUACCUCGCCAUCCUCCCGCGCCAGACCGACUCCACCAUCUUCUGGUCAGAAGAAGAGCUCUUGGAGAUACAAGGAACACAAUUACUGAGCACAACGAUGGUUGUGAAAGAG